AGAGAGAGACAUGCGCGCAUAUCAAUAAGCGGAGGAAAAGAAACUAACUAGGAUUCCCUUAGUAACGGCGAGUGAAGCGGGAAGAGCUCAAAUUUGAAAUCUUCAAGGUUUUACCUUGACGAAUUGUAGUUUAAAGAAGUGUUUUCUGUUGGAGUUUUGGUAAAAGUUCUUUGGAAUAGGACAUCAUAGAGGGUGAGAAUCCCGUAUUUGACCAUUACUUUCCAGCUGUGUGAUACACUUUCAACGAGUCGGAUUGUUUGGGAAUGCAGUCCAAAAUGGGUGGUAAAUUUCAUCUAAAGCUAAAUAUUGGCGAGAGACCGAUAGCGAACAAGUACCGUGAGGGAAAGAUGAAAAGAACUUUGAAAAGAGAGUUAAACAGUACGUGAAAUUGUCAAAAGGGAAGCGUUUGACACCAGUGUUGUUUUCUCGAAAAUCAAUUAAAAAUGGCGGGAUUUUGUGUUGUAUUGACUUUAUCAGCUUUCUGCACUUUUUUCCUGUCUUUUUUAAUGCACUUUUCGUUUAACAAGUCAACAUCAAUUUCUUUUGUUGUAAAAGGGUCAUUGGAAGGUGGCUUUCUUUUCGGAGAAAGUGUUUAUAGCCUUUGACUUCUGCAAUCGGAGAGAUUGAGGUCUGCAGCGUAGAUCCUUCGGGGUUAGAUGCAUUUGUGCUAAGUUAUAGCCUUUCAUAGACAACUUGUUGACUACGAUCAGUCAUGUAGCUUACUCGCUUAUGUCAUUUUACCUACGCUUAGGAUGUUGACAGCAGUAUAGACUGU
rnacentral:rRNA from 1 species